rnacentral:rRNA from 1 species
UACGUAGGGGGCUAGCGUUGUCCGGAUUUAUUGGGCGUAAAGAGCGUGUAGGCGGCCAAGUAGGUCCGGUGUGAAAACUCGAGGCUUAACCUCGAGAUGUCAUCGGAAACCAUUUGGCUAGAGUCCGGAAGAGGAAAGUGGAAUUCCUGGUGUAGCGGUGAAAUGCGCAGAUAUCAGGAAGAACACCGGUGGCGAAAGCGCUCUGCUAGGCCGCAACUGACACUGAGGGACGAAAGCUAGGGGAGCGAACAGG